CUGGCUCAGGACAAACGCUGGCGGCGUGCCUAACACAUGCAAGUCGAACGAAGCACAUCGGAAAGAGACUCGGUCAAUGGAAAAUGUGACUUAGUGGCGGACGGGUGAGUAAUGCAUGAGCAACCUGCCCUGGAGAGGGGGACAACAGCUGGAAACGGCUGCUAAUACCGCAUAAUACUGCGGAGAGGCAUCUCUCUGCAGUCAAAAGAUUUAUCGCUCUGGGAUGGGCUCAUGUCUGAUUAGUUAGUUGGCGGGGCAACGGCCCACCAAGACUACGAUCAGUAGCCGGACUGAGAGGUUGAACGGCCACAUUGGGACUGAGAUACGGCCCAGACUCCUACGGGAGGCAGCAGUGGGGAAUAUUGGGCAAUGGGCGCAAACGCCUGACCCAGCAACGCCGCGUGAAGGAAGAAGGCUUUCGGGUUGUAAACUUCUUUUAUCAGGGACGAAGGAUGUGACGGUACCUGAUGAAUAAGCCACGGCUAACUACGUGCCAGCCGCCGC
rnacentral:rRNA from 1 species